CCCCCGCUGGGGGGGCCAGUCGCCAGCCGCUGCAGUCUUCUCGCCUCCAGCCGCAGUAAGCUGGCAUCCAGCCCCAGUCUAGCCCUCCAGUGAGUCUCUCAGCGCUCAGCCCGAGCUCAUCGAGCCAAGCCUCCCCUAGCAGCCCAAGCCGCCAGCUAGCCAGCUAGCUUACCUGUUCCUGGUCUUCUCCGUGGGACAGGUGGGUCCAUGCGGCCACUCACCCAGCCGCCCACCUCCGUCUCUUCAUGGGCAAAGCCUGCGCUGCUGCCAACCGCUAGACUCGCCAUACUCGGUCGUCCACCUGCACCGCUGCCGAACUCCUUGCAGCAGGCCCUGCCCUGACCGCUUUAUUUGGGACUGAGUUUGUUUUGUUUUCCUUGUAUUUUUCCUUGGACUCUGGCCCCCUGUCCGGCAACCCUCUGCCCACCCUGGUUGGGUUGUUUUGUUUUAUGACUUUUUAGGCGUCUAGUAGCCGUCCUUGAGGUACUUUAAGGAUUUAGGUUUCUGUGUUUGUUUUAUAGUCAAUUUAGUUCCUGUGCCUUCUUGUCUACCCCUUGAUUGAUCCCAGCUGAGUCCUGUUUCCUUGAUUACUCCCUUGUGUAUUUAAUCCUACCUGUGUCUGUGUUUCCUCAGUGGGUCCUUGUUUAUACUGUCGCCCAUCUAUUGUCCUUAUCAGUGCUACUUGUUUUGAGUUCCUUGCCUUUGAGUUCACCAGUGCUGACUUGAGUUCUGUUUACCUGUGAGAGCUUUGAUUAAAUCAUCCAUUUUCACCAUAA